rnacentral:rRNA from 1 species
UACGGAGGAUCCAAGCGUUGUCCGGAUUUAUUGGGUUUAAAGGGUGCGUAGGCGGAUCUUUAAGUCAGUGGUGAAAGCCUGCAGCUUAACUGUAGAACUGCCAUUGAAACUGAAGAUCUUGAAUAUGGUUAAAGUAAGCGGAAUGUAUCAUGUAGCGGUGAAAUGCUUAGAUAUGAUACAGAACACCGAUAGCGAAGGCAGCUUGCUGAGCCAUUAUUGACGCUGAGGCACGAAAGCGUGGGGAGCAAACAGGAUUAGAUACCCUGGUAGUCCACGCCCUAAACGUUGAUUACUCGUUGUUGGCGAUAUACUGUCAGCGACUAAGCUAAAGCGUUAAGUAAUCCACCUGGGAAGUACGACCGCAAGGUUGAA